AGCGAUCUCCAUGGAGACAAACAUCGAACUCACUCCCUCCAGUUUGUAAAACUGAAUGUGAAUGGCCAUUCCAAAUCGGCUGUCUUAAUCCACUCAGAGCAGCAGGAAGUAUUUAACUGUUCAACAUAUUAAAUGAACAAAAAAAUACAGAUUUCAGGUUAAAGUGCCUGAUGGCUGCCACUGGCAUUGCCACUUCUGAUCUUGUUCUCAUUUGCGAACUCCCAGCUUUUUGUCUGGCUUUGGGAGCCUGGUUGGGCCUCCAGCUCUGGCCUUCUAUGUCUGCUGCCAGCUCUGAAGUUCUGAUGGGAUCCGUGUCAGGUUGUGAGCCACAGGAAGCGUGUCAACCAUGUCAAACCAGAAGAUCAAGAAAUCAAAGAUUCCAUUCGCUUGCCUUAGAGUUUGAGGGAUUCAAGAGCUGGCCUGGGUGUCUGCUGAGUGUGAAGUGCCAUUUGGAGGCCUUGCCUCUACUGGAGGACCACAAGUGUCUAAGAUGUCCACAGUGA
rnacentral:lncRNA from 1 species